rnacentral:tRNA from 1 species
GCCUGCUUGGCUAAGUGGUACAGCGCGGCACUUGUAUAGGCACUCGAACAGUGUUCUGAUCCAGGCAUGCCGAGAUCACUCGUUCGAACCGGGUAGUAGGCA